GAGGAGGAGGAAUGAUCAGAUCACACUUGGACCAGAAAACAAAGAUUUAUGGAAGUCUGUAUAAAUCUUUAUGCAUCUGGCAAGGAUGCGUCGGAACUAAGACAAUUAGGAGCUUCGAUGCGUGUCAGGAAAAUUUACAUUUUUUUAUUAGCAUUAAAGUAAUUUGUUCGUUUAGAAUCUUGAUGAUUGAACUGCCUUCCAACCAGUUAAAUCAUGCAGUACCUCAUUCUAAUGAAUCUUUUUGUAUUUUUAAGGAAGCAAAAGGAGAAAGAAAGAAGGAAAAAAUUAGGAAAUUACUUUUUUGCAAACUUUUAUGUCCCUGAGAUAAAAAACUCACGAAAAAUGGAAUGGAGUUAUAUAGUUAUAUAGUUAUAUAUAACUAUAUAACUAACUAUAUAGUUAUAUAGUGUUGUACGUGCAUAUAAAUCUUUUAAUGUUUACAUUUUUUGAGUGGUUUUUGCACACAUUUUUUUCUGAAAGCUGCAUGUGAGUUUAAUUGCCGACAUUGCAAGAGUAAAAGUUUGUUUUUGAAGCAGAAAGAUGCCAAAAAAAAAAAAUCCCCAGCAAAACAUCCAAAUGAUGUUAUUUUCCGUUUCCACCUUAACGUCCAGUCACUUCAGAGACACAGAACCCAUCUCAGAAGCGUACAGAGCUGCUUCUACACUUAUUGUCAACCUGUUUAAAAGUAAAAAAUCAGCAAUGCCUUCCAGGCUGACACCAUACACAAACACUCACCUGCAGCUGGAAUUCAUGCUGUUUCUUUGAGUAAAACUUUCCAGUGUGGUUCUCCUAAGCAGACUUUCCCUCAUUUUUAUUCUUCCGGGUUACAGUUUUAGUUAAUAAAUCAAUACAAGGCAUGUUUGCAUUAUCACAUGCAGAUAUUUCUAUGCAUUUUGUUCAUUUUAGAUGCAUCGUAUGUCAAAAAGAAGAUAAAAAUGUUAUCAUUGUUUGUAAGCUUUAUUUAAGCUUUUACUUUAAGCUUUUUAUCUUUUUUAUAUAGACUUUAGAUGGACACAUAAGAUAAAAAGCUGUUUUCUUCUUUUUUGGCAUCAAAAGAGUUUACAAAUAACCUCAUGAUGCCUUUAAAUAUGAAAAAUCCACUAGAUACGCUCACUAUUUAUAAUCCUAAUCAGUGUAGUGUAUCAUGGAUUUUAUGGGCUGUGGUUUGACUAGCAGGAAUCCACUGUCUUCAUGUCUUUUUCUUUUCUUAGUUCUUGGCAGAACUGGAGAGGAAUCCACACCGAGGGGGAGUAACGUCAAACUGUAAUGCCACCCGGAGCUGUCCCAUCACGCAGCGGCGUUCAUUUGACCCUGGCGGCUCCCAUCACAACCCGAGCGUCAAUGCAAUGACAUUGUGCUCCCUGAUUAGAUCUCUGGGUGGGAAAAAGAACAACAGAGGUCCGGAGUGACCCAUCAACUAACAACCUGAUUGCCGGCCGAACAUCAGCAGGUGUUUGGAGAGCUGGAGAUGGGCGGGGGAUGCCACUGCAGCCUCGCUAUGUCAAGUAACUCUUUGCUGACGGGACUGGAGGACUUGGCCAAUCUGAGGUUCCCAUGGAAACCAGGUGGACUAUGCAGAAUGGAGGGGCUGGAUAUGGAUGUGACGAUGAUGGACGUCGAGGCCCUGCACCCAGACCUUGGCCCCGACUCCCUCAGCACAUUAUCCAGCUGUUGGAGCAGAGAGGAAGAGGAGCUUAGGCCCUGAGAUUCUUUCAUUUGAAGGUGGAGUGCACAUGGGAGCAGGACAGGACUGUUUGUGCGCAUGUACCAACCGCGUCGUGUGCCGGAUGGCCCUGAAGAUGCGGCAGUAACAGAAGAUGAUGAUAAAAAGAGGGAUGAAGAACACAAAGGUAAACA